CCUACGGGAGUCAGCAGUGGGGAAUAUUGCACAAUGGGGGAAACCCUGAUGCAGCGACGCCGCGUGAGGGAAGAAGUAUUUCGGUAUGUAAAGCUCUAUCAGCAGGGAAGAAAAUGACGGUACCUGAUUAAGAAUCAGCGGCUAACUACUUGCCAGCAGCCGCGGUAAUACGUAGGUGGCAAGCAUUAUCCGGAUUUACUGGGGGGAGAGGGAGCGGAGGCGGCAGCACAAGUCUGGAGUGAAAUGCCGGGGCUUAACCCCGGGACUGCUUUUGAAACUGUGCAGCUAGAGUGCAGGAGAGGUAAGUGGAAUUCCUAGUGUAGCGGUGAAAUGCGUAGAUAUUCGGAGGAACACCAGUGGCGAAGGCGGAUUACUGGACUGUAACUGACGUUGAGGCUCGAAAGCGUGGGGAGCAAACAGGAUUAGAUACCCCAGUAGUC
rnacentral:rRNA from 1 species